rnacentral:lncRNA from 1 species
ACUUAUAUAAGCAAGGCAUUCUGAGGAGAGAGAGCCUUUCCUCUGAGGAGAGUCUGAUUUGUUUGUACUGGCAACAUGGUCUAUCCUGGGCCACAUCCUCUCAGAGACCAUUCAGAUUUGAGUGACUGUUAUGACAGGAUUUUGGACUCUGUACCCAAAAUCAGUUUGUCAUCCCCGUUCUACCUUCUCUGAGGCGCGCUCAUCCCGGUUCUACCUUCUCUGAGGCGCGCUCAUCCCGGUUCUACCUUCUCUGAGGCGCGCUCAUCCCGGUUCUACCUUCUUUGAGGCGCGCUCAUCUCUGUUCUACAUUCUCUGAGGCGCUCCUCGUCCUUGACUGCUUUGGUUAUGGUUAUUUCCUCUUCGAUCCCAUUGUCGCUAAGAAUGUUGCCGUUAUCUUUUCUCCUUCUUCAACUCCUCCCAGACCCUUCCCCACCCCACUCACCUGAUUCCACGCCCUUUCUCUCUUGAAAAAACAAUCAAAACAAACGAACAAACAAAAACCAACAACAAAAAACAAACACUGAAAAAACAUAAAAGCAGAAACCAAGAUAUACAAGCAAAAGAUCAGUAAGACAAGAAAUACCCAAACAAAGUGAUAUGACCCUGAAAGUCUACAAAAUGCCACUGAGUUCAUUUUGUGUUGGCCAACUAGCCCUACCCUGAAGUGUGGCUAAUAUACUCCGUGAGACUUCAUUGGAGAAAAUAAAAAUUGCCAUUGCAAGUGAGUAUCAAUUGCAAACAGCUUCUUUAUUAGCAGUGGGAGCCCUUGUUCGCUCUCUCCUCUCUGCUUUGGGUCCUCCUCGGUUUGAACCUGUGCAGGCAGGCCUUGGGGGCACUGCCACGCCUCUGCGAGUUUAUAUGCGCAUAAAUAAGUCCUGUAGUCUGGGAGACACUGUGUCCUUGGAGUCAUUCCCUCUGGCUCUUAGACCUUUUUCCACCUCUUCUUUCACUUAGUUCCUUGAGAAGAGUUUGACGAAGAAAAUCUAUUUAGGACUGAGUGCUCCAAUGGCUUUCUGCACUUUGUGCAGUUGUGGGUCACUUGUUUGUUCCCGUCUAUUGUAAGAAGAUGCUUCUCUGAUAAUGAAUGAGUAAGGCACUAAUCUGGUUAUCACAGAAUGUCAUGCUCCUUAAGCAAAAACAACAGUAUUUGGUUUUCCCCAGGUGCUUGGCCUAUCCAGUCUCAGGUUCUUAGCCACUGGAACAGUCUCAGGCAUGGGUUCCAUGUAGUGGGGUGGGCUUUAAAUCCAAUCAGGUACUGUUUGCUUCCUCUCAUAAUAUUUAUGACACUACUUCUCCAGCAUAUCUUGCAGGCAGGUCACGGUUGUAUGUUAGGAGGUUUAUAGUGGGGUUGAGAGUUACCUUUCUCCUCUGGUAGCAUGCAAAGUACUUUCCAGUACCAUGAAUACUAGCACCAGCUUGACUUCUCUGUAGAUAUUGCCUCCAGCAAUCGGGCCUUACUGUCAGUUUGUGUAGAGCAACCAAUAGUCUUAGUAAUAGCCUGAGAUAUCGGGUGGUUUCCAGCGGGCUCCUUUGGCUAACAACUCAACUAGAUGUGACCCGUUCCUGGCACUGGAGGCUUUACCUGGUGGUGAAAUAUCUAGUUGCAACAUCUUCUCUCCCAUUAUCUGGUGACUUCAUUUAGAUUCCAUUCAUAUAUGUAUUUAUUUUAGGAAGCUUCUACUGUAGUAGUAGUCCAUACAAACCUCAAGGGGACCUCUCCUCAUUCUCUUCUUUUGGGGGGUGGGGGUGGGCAGGGGGAUCAAGACAGGGUUUCUCUGUCUAGCCCCAGCUGUCCUGGAACUCACUCUGUAGACCAAGCUGGUCUCGAACUUAGAAAUCCACCUGCUUCUGCCUCCCAAGUGCUGGGAUUAAAGGUGUGAGCCACCACUGCCCGUCAUCCCCAUUCUCUUCUUUACCCUCCCUCUCUCAAUGCCACUGUUUCAUUCUUUUGCCAUCUCUUCAUAACUAUAUUCUGUUCUCUUGGGGGAAUCUCCCUUACCCCCUAGUUUCUUAUCCUAUACCUAACUUCGUGAUUAUGAAAUUGUCCAAUGCCAGCCAGGCGGUGGUGGAACACACCUUUAAUCCCAGCACUUGGGAGGCAAAGGCAGGCAGAUUUCU